CCUACGGGAGGCAGCAGUGAGGAAUAUUGGUCAAUGGUCGGGAGACUGAACCAGCCAAGCCGCGUGAGGGAUGAAGGUACAGAGUAUCGUAAACCUCUUUUGUCAGGGAACAAAGGCGGGGACGUGUCCCCGGAUGAGUGUACCUGAAGAAAAAGCAUCGGCUAACUCCGUGCCAGCAGCCGCGGUAAUACGGAGGAUGCGAGCGUUAUCCGGAUUUAUUGGGUGUAAAGGGCGUGUAGGCGGGAGCGCAAGUCAGAUGUGAAAACUCAGGGCCCAACCCUGAGCCUGCAUUUGAAACUGUGUUU
rnacentral:rRNA from 1 species